rnacentral:rRNA from 1 species
GACGAACGCUGGCGGCGUGCCUAACACAUGCAAGUUGAGCGACGAACCAGGGCUUGCCCUGGGGCAAAGCAGCGAACGGGUGAGUAACACGUGGGUAACCUACCCCGAUAACCGGGACAACCCGAGGAAACUCGGGCUAAUACCGGAUGUGCUCACUGGACUUCGGUUCAGUGCGUAAAGGAAGCUUCGGCCUCCGUAUCGGGAGGGGCCCGCGGCCCAUUAGUUUGUUGGUGAGGUAACGGCUCACCAAGACCGCGAUGGGUAGCUGGUCUGAGAGGACGAUCAGCCACACUGGGACUGAGACACGGCCCAGACUCCUACGGGAGGCAGCAGUGGGGAAUCUUGCGCAAUGCGCGAAAGCGUGACGCAGCAACGCCGCGUGGGGGAAGAAGGCCUUCGGGUUGUAAGCCCCUUUCAGGAGGGACGAAGGUUCGGCGGUGAAUAGCCGUCCGGACUGACGGUACCUCCACAAGAAGCCCCGGCUAACUACGUG